GAUGAACGCUGGCGGCGUGCCUAAUACAUGCAAGUCGAGCGAACAGACGAGGAGCUUGCUCCUCUGACGUUAGCGGCGGACGGGUGAGUAACACGUGGAUAACCUACCUAUAAGACUGGGAUAACUUCGGGAAACCGGAGCUAAUCCCGGAUGAUAUAUUGAACCGCAUGGUUCAAUAGUGAAAGACGGGUUUGCUGUCACUUAUAGAUGGAUCCGCGCCGCAUUAGCUAGUUGGUAAGGUAACGGCUUACCAAGUCAACGAUGCGUAGCCGACCUGAGAGGGUGAUCGGCCACACGGGAACGGAGACACGGUCCAGACUCCUAAGGGAGGCAGCAGUAGAGAAUGUUGCGCAAUGGGCGAAAGCUUGACGGAGCAACGCCGCGUGAGUGAUGAAGGUCUUCGGAUCGUAAACCUCUUUUAUUAGGGAAGAACAAAUGUGUAAGUAACUAGGCACGUCUUGACGGUACCUAAUCAGAAAGCCCCGGCUAACUACGUG
rnacentral:rRNA from 1 species